rnacentral:rRNA from 1 species
UACGUAGGGUGCGAGCGUUAAUCGGAAUUACUGGGUGUAAAGCGUGCGCAGGCGGUUUUGUAAGCCAGAUGUGAAAUCCCCGGGCUUAACCUGGGAAUGGCAUUUGGGACUGCAAGGCUUGAGUGCGGCAGAGGAGACUAGAAUUCCUGGUGUAGCAGUGAAAUGCGUAGAUAUCAGGAGGAAUACCGAUGGCGAAGGCAGGUCUCUGGGCUGACACUGACGCUCAUGCACGAAAGCGUGGGGAGCAAACGGG